UCAAGUGAAGAAGCGCAUACGGUGGAUGCCUUGGCAGUCAGAGGCGAUGAAAGACGUGGUAGCCUGCGAAAAGCUUCGGGGAGUCGGCAAACAGACUGUGAUCCGGAGAUAUCUGAAUGGGGAAACCCACUGAGCACAAGCUCAGUAUCUUGCACUGAAUACAUAGGUGUAAGAGGCGAACCAGGGGAACUGAAACAUCUAAGUACCCUGAGGAAAAGAAAUCAACCGAGAUUCCCUUAGUAGUGGCGAGCGAACGGGGAUUAGCCCUUAAGUGGCUUUGAGAUUAGCGGAACGCUCUGGAAAGUGCGGCCAUAGUGGGUGAUAGCCCUGUACGCGAAAAUCUCUUUUCAAUGAAAUCGAGUAGGACGGAGCACGAGAAACUUUGUCUGAAUAUGGGGGGACCAUCCUCCAAGGCUAAAUACUACUGACUGACCGAUAGUGAACCAGUACCGUGAGGGAAAGGCGAAAAGAACCCCGGAGAGGGGAGUGAAAUAGAACCUGAAACCGUAUGCGUACAAGCAGUGGGAGCCUACUUUGUUAGGUGACUGCGUACCUUUUGUAUAAUGGGUCAGCGACUUAUAUUCAGUGGCGAGCUUAACCGAAUAGGGGAGGCGUAGCGAAAGCGAGUCUUAAUAGGGCGUUUAGUCGCUGGGUAUAGACCCGAAACCGGGCGAUCUAUCCAUGGGCAGGUUGAAGGUUAGGUAACACUGACUGGAGGACCGAACCGACUACCGUUGAAAAGUUAGCGGAUGACCUGUGGAUCGGAGUGAAAGGCUAAUCAAGCUCGGAGAUAGCUGGUUCUCCUCGAAAGCUAUUUAGGUAGCGCCUCGUGUAUCACUGCUGGGGGUAGAGCACUGUUUCGGCUAGGGGGUCAUCCCGACUUACCAAACCGAUGCAAACUCCGAAUACCAAUGAGUACUAUCCGGGAGACAGACUGCGGGUGCUAACGUCCGUAGUCAAGAGGAAAACAAUCCAGACCGCCAGCUAAGGCCCCAAAAUCAUAGUUAAGUGGGAAACGAUGUGGGAAGGCAUAGACAGCUAGGAGGUUGGCUUAGAAGCAGCCACCCUUUAAAGAAAGCGUAAUAGCUCACUAGUCGAGUCGGCCUGCGCGGAAGAUGUAACGGGGCUCAAACCAUACACCGAAGCUACGGACAUAUUCUUUGAAUAUGUGGUAGAGGAGCGUUCUGUAAGCCGUUGAAGGUGAGUUGAGAAGCUUGCUGGAGGUAUCAGAAGUGCGAAUGCUGACAUGAGUAACGACAAUGCGAGUGAAAAACUCGCACGCCGAAAGACCAAGGGUUCCUGCGCAACGUUAAUCGACGCAGGGUGAGUCGGUCCCUAAGGCGAGGCUGAAGAGCGUAGUCGAUGGGAAACGGGUUAAUAUUCCCGUACUUCUAGUUACUGCGAUGGGGGGACGGAGAAGGCUAGGCCAGCAAGGCGUUGGUUGUCCUUGUUUAAGGUGGUAGGCAGAGAUCUUAGGUAAAUCCGGGGUCUUAAUGCCGAGAGCUGAUGACGAGCUUUCUUUUAGAAAGCGAAGUGGUUGAUGCCAUGCUUCCAGGAAAAGCCUCUAAGCUUCAGGUAACUAGGAACCGUACCCCAAACCGACACAGGUGGUUGGGUAGAGAAUACCAAGGCGCUUGAGAGAACUCGGGUGAAGGAACUAGGCAAAAUGGCACCGUAACUUCGGGAGAAGGUGCGCCGGUGAGGGUGAAUGAUUUACUCAGUAAGCCCAUGCCGGUCGAAGAUACCAGGCCGCUGCGACUGUUUAUUAAAAACACAGCACUCUGCAAACACGAAAGUGGACGUAUAGGGUGUGACGCCUGCCCGGUGCCGGAAGGUUAAUUGAUGGGGUUAGCGCAAGCGAAGCUCUUGAUCGAAGCCCCGGUAAACGGCGGCCGUAACUAUAACGGUCCUAAGGUAGCGAAAUUCCUUGUCGGGUAAGUUCCGACCUGCACGAAUGGCGUAACGAUGGC
rnacentral:rRNA from 1 species